UGUAGUGUGCUGCACUUGUAUGACCAUUUCAAUAUACUGUAAUUGUUUUCCACACUUCCCUCACAGGUUAGUCUGGCUUCCAGCAGAGGCAAAAGUGAAUAACAAGCCAAUCAACAUGCAAAAUGUUGAAGAAAGCAGCUCAGCACACAGCCAGCAGCCAAACGUGAGAUUAGCAUGUGGCUGCAGACAGGAAAAACUGGCUGGAAAGUUUCCGCAGGAGGAAAGAGGCCUUGGGAGAGCAGGACCUGUGGAAUUGUGUUGUAUGGGAAGCUGCAUCCCCAGCCCUGACUGAGAUGCUGCUGGCAUUUUAUUUGUUGUUAAGUAACACAAUAACCUAUUGCCGAGAAAACAAAAUGAGAACUCUGUAUCAGAGUGUAGAUGUCAGACAAGCAUUAAUAAAACAAUAAAU
rnacentral:lncRNA from 12 species